rnacentral:lncRNA from 10 species
CCUACACUGUGUCAUUCCACCCACGUCAGGUCCCUACAAACACUGUGUCAUUCCACCCGCGUGAGGUCCCUAUACUGUGUCAUUCCACCCACGUCAGGUCCCUACAAACACUGUGUCAUUCCACCCACGUGAGGUCCCUACAAACACUGUGUCAUUCCACCCACGUGAGAUCCCUACACCGUGUCAUUCCACCCGCCUGAGGUCCCUACAAACACUGUGUCAUUCCACCUGCCUGAGGUCCCUACAAACACUGUGUCAUUCCACCUGCCUGAGGUCCCUACAAACGCUGUGCCAUUCCACCCACGUGAGGUCCCUACACUGUGUCAUUCCAUCCGCCUGAGGUCCCUACAAACACUGACAUUCCACCCGCCUGAGGUCCCUACAAACACUGUGUCACUCCACCCGCCUGAGGUCCCUACAAACACUGUGUCAUCCCACCCGCCUGAGGUCCCUACACUGUGUCAUUCCACCCACGUGAGGUCCCUGCAAACACUGUGUCAUUCCACCCGUGUGAGGUCCCUACAAACACUGUGUCAUUCCACCCGCCUGAGGUCCCUACACUGUGUCAUUCCACCCACGUGAGGUCCCUGCAAACACUGUGUCAUUCCACCCGUGUGAGGUCCCUACAAACACUGUGUCAUUCCACCCGCCUGAGGUCCCUACACUGUGUCAUUCCACCCACGUGAGGUCCCUACACUGUGUCAUUCCACCCGCCUGAGGUCCCUAUACUGUGUCAUUCCACCCACGUGAGGUCCCUACACUGUGUCAUUCCACCCGCCUGAGGUCCCUACACUGUCAUUCCACCCACAUGAGGUCCCUACACUGUGUCAUUCCACCCGCCUGAGGUCCCUACACUGUGUCAUUCCACCCACGUGAGGUCCCUACAAACACUGUCAUUCCACCCGCCUGAGGUCCCUACAAACACUGUGUCAUUCCACCCGCCUGAGGUCCCUACAAACACUGUGUCAUUCCAUCCGUGUGAGGUCCCUACAAACACUGUCAUUCCACCCGCCUGAGGUCCCUACAAACACUGUCAUUCCACCCGACUGAGGUCCCUACAAACACUGUCAUUCCACCCGACUGAGGUCCCUACACUGUGUCAUUCCACCUGCGUGAGGUCCCUACACUGUGUCAUCCCACCCGCCUGAGGUCCCUACACUGUGUCAUUCCACCUGCCUGAGGUCCCUACAAACACUGUGUCAUUCCACCCGCCUGAGGUCCCUACAAACACUGUGUCAUUCCACCCGCCUGAGGUCCCUACACUGUGUCAUUCCACCCACCUGAGGUCCCUACAAACGCUGUGUCAUUCCACCCGCCUGAGGUCCCUACACUGUGUCAUUCCACCCACGUGAGGUCCCUGCAAACACUGUGUCAUUCCACCCGUGUGAGGUCCCUACAAACACUGUGUCAUUCCACCCGCCUGAGGUCCCUACACUGUGUCAUUCCACCCACGUGAGGUCCCUACACUGUGUCAUUCCACCCACCUGAGGUCCCUACACUGUGUCAUUCCACCCACCUGAGGUCCCUACAAACGCUGUGUCAUUCCACCCGCCUGAGGUCCCUACAAACGUUGUGUCAUUCCACCUGCGUGAGGUCCCUACAAACACUGUCAUUCCACCCGCCUGAGGUCCCUACAAACACUGUCAUUCCACCCGACUGAGGUCCCUACAAACACUGUGUCAUUCCACCUGCGUGAGGUCCCUACACUGUGUCAUUCCACCCGCCUGAGGUCCCUACACUGUGUCAUUCCGCCUGCCUGAGGUCCCUACAAACACUAUGUCAUUCCACCUGCCUGAGGUCCCUACAAACACUGUGUCAUUCCACCCGCCUGAGGUCCCUACAAACGCUGUGUCAUUCCACCCGCCUGAGGUCCCUAGACUGGGCAAAUUCAGAGACAGAAAGUAGAAUGGUGGUCGCCAGGGGCCGGGGAAGGGGAGAAGGGGAGUUAUUGUUUAAUAGGACAAAGUUGUGUUGGUAAUGAGGAAGUUGUUUUGGGAACAGGUAGUGGUGAUAGCUACACAACACUGUAAGUGCAUUUACCACCACGCAACUGUACACUUAUGAACGGCUAAAAUGAUAAAUAUUAUGCCAUGUAUAUUUUACCACAAUUAAAAAAAAUUCCUAGACCUCAAAAAAAAAAAAAAAAUCCCAAUCUAUGCCAACCUGGGUGUCACAUUUCUCUCUGUAGGUCAAGUGAAACAUGGCCCAAACCACCCUAAGUUGCUGACAUAUAGAUGCGAACUCCACAGAGCCCGCCUCUGGGUGCUGUGUGUGCGCCUCCACCACAGCCUGUCCUGCGGGGAACACGGAGGUUAUCAGGGCGCGUGGCCAGAGAAAGGUUCCAUCUACUUUUUAAAUAACCCAGCAGCAGACAUUUAAUGGAUUUCUAUGGUUACUAUUUUACCUACGACAUAUUUGACUGUGAUCAGUACUUUAGGGCGUACACAGAAAGCCGUAUGCUGAUACCUUCAUAAUCCAAAUAGAUUACGCCUUUUACUACUGAAUUCUUUAAUGAACAGUAAGCAAAUUGAGAAUGGUUAAAGUAAAAACUUUCUCAUUCUCUCCAUUUUAAGAUCACUAUUACACACCUGAACUUAACCGGGGCUCUAUGGCAGAGGAGAUUAAUAAUUUUGGUUAAUACUACUUCAACGAUUAUCUAAUAUUUCAGAUGCCUUUAACAACAUCUAUCUGUUACCAUAAACGAAGUCAACAUCUAAGAAAUGUGACCUGUGACACUGAACAGAUCUCUAGGGUCUGACAAAGUUGCAGGGAGCUGGAGAAGCGCGGCCACGGCAGAGCUGCAAUUCCCCAUCGGCCUCUGUCUGAUAAAAGGCAACCCAUGGAUCUAUUUGGAUAAACACUCAAGAGCAGGGACAGGCUAUGAACCAAUUUCACAGACAGUGCCUCCAGUGAGGAAGGAGUGCGGGCAACGGAGUUGGGGAGUUAAAACGGAGAUGGACAGCCUCAACAUGACCGUAGCCUUCAUCUCUUCAAAAACCCAAAACAAGAUGGACCGUUGUUAAGUGUGGAGUAUGUGGGUGUUUAUUUAUUUUAUGCAAAUAAUACAUAAUUAUUUAUUCUAAAAGCAACCUAUCCCAAUGUGAGGUGGCAAACAACGGAGCCUCCCGUACACAGGUUACUGCAAAGGACGGGAGCAAAGCUGAGACGCAGCCUUCAAUGCCUACGAAAGCCAGGAACGUUUACAAACGCACUGGUACACGUAAGGCACGAAUCCCCCCUUUUCAAUCAUUAUUACUAGCUGAGUUUUUGUUUUGCUUUCUUUUAAAUCUAGUUAUGUACUAGAGCUUUUGUAAUGAAUACUCUUUUAGGGAUACUACUUCGCCAUUCUAGAUUCUGGAACAGAACUAUUGAAAUUAAAAAAAAAAAAUUUAAGGUAUUUUCAAACAUGACAAAAUGGCAGCCUAAAACCAUUAAAAUUCCAGAAAACCGGAGCACAACAGAAGGUGGGGUGCUAAGCAGUGCUGAGUCACUAUUAGGGGUGCACGGAGAGAAAAACCUUCCUCCUUCGAGUUGCUAGAACUCCCUCUUUACCUUUUCUUAAGGGCACUUUUCUCCUUAUACCUACAAACAAUGCAUUCUUGGUGUGGAACAUAAAAUAAUACAGAAAUGUGCAGAAUAAAAGCCAAAGUCUCUGUUCAGUGAGGCGUGACCACCCUUUCCCCACAGGCACCCCCGAUGUCACCCCUGGAUAUCUGCUUUCCAGAGCAGCAUUUACAACCACACUCAGCUUCGCCUGGGGUCACCGUUCUUCUGCAAAAGCUGCUGUUUUCACCCAAUGUGUCACAGACUGCUCUCCGAGGGGCCCAGAACACUCUUACUCCACAAAGUGUGUGUUCUAACACAUGUAACCGCCUCACUACUUUUAGGCAUUUAGUGUUUUCAACGUUGUAUCACUGCAGUGCACAUCUUUCUGAAAUGCUGGCCUAUUUCCUGUAGGAUUCCUACAAGUGGAACCUUGGGGUCCUAACCCUUGUGUUAAGUUUGAGAGAGAAAUGUCAAAUUACCCUCCAAAAAAUGAGUGUACAGACACUCCUUCCAGAAAUGACUAGGAAAAAUGGAACAUUAUUAUUGCUUUAAUUAGAAUGUCUUUGCUUAUUUGAGACAGGGUCCACUCUGUUCCCAGGCUGGAAUGCAGUGGUGUGAUCACAGCUCACAGCAGCCUUGACCUCCUGGGCUCAAGGGAUCCUCCUGCCUUGGCCUCCCAAAGUGCUGGGAUUACAGGUGUGAGGCCGGUCAUAUCUUUGCUCAUUAAUACCAUUUCUAUGAUGAUUAAUGUUAACUCUUUUACUCACCACCCACUUAAAACAAACCAGCCAUUAGAUGCGGUUAAACAUGCAGACCUAUUGUCUGUGUUUUUUUCACUCAAAUGUUGCUAAUUAUCAGCAAACCUGCUGCCCCUUUCAGGCAGGUAUGGUGACUCACCCAAGAAUUC